UUCAUGUGAGUACUCAGACAAAAUCAUAUGGAAACAUUUAAAAUUUCGGUUUAAUUUAAUGCACAAAAACGUGUGUGUAUUUUCGAGGGAAGGAAUUAAAAUGGUCGGUAGGACGGCGAAAAUCCUAUGGGGUUAUCCGGAUCGUGCGAAGACGAGGCUAUUUCUGAAAGGAAGUAAGAAGGAGUUCAAUAUAGCUUUCGGUAUCAUAUCGGGACACAUAGGACUAUAGCUCACUUAUGCAAAUUCGCUGCAGCAAGUGAUGCCAUGUGAAGCAAAUGAUGCCAUGUGGGGAAUAUGAUGAAGCGUUGGAGCAUUUCCUAUGUUAUUGCCCGGUUUUCUUAGGUGGAGAUACAAUACCAUACAUGAACCAACUUAGGGGAAUGGUAUUGAAAACAAUUAAGGAUUUUUUUUUUGAGUGCACAACAAGCCGAUUACUGGCUUAGGUGUAUGUCCACAGUGGCAUGGGGCGGAUUUAUAUCUGCACCCUAUUUUCAACCUAACCUAACCUCAACUAAGUAUUUGAUCUUGUCAGAUGUCGAAAUCGUUCUAUUGAGGACACAUAGUGCAUCAAAUUGGACCACCUUCGUCUUUCUUGUGAACAAGCAGAUUUCAGUCUUCUCUGGGUUAACAUUGAGACCCAUAGGUCAAGUUCAAACUACCCGGUACUGGUCUAAGGACCAUCGAUAAAAGCCUCGACGUCAAUGCAUACCUCCAAUGUGUACGUCUUGGCAUCAAAGGUUACUUCUAUUCUAUGCACAACUUCAUGCAGAGCAGCUUCCACCGACCUUCCCUUGACAUAGGCAUGCUGUUUGUAUUUGAGCAGUUCGCUGGAUGUCCUAUAUACGUUCCAUGGUUUUGAGUAGAAACAACGUAAGGCUUAUAGGUCUGCUGGCCUUUGGUGUCGCAUAACGGCUAAAUUAGAUUUUGCUGAUUUCAUUCAGAAGGAAAUUCCCUCAUUUCAUAUUAAAAUUUGAAUAAAAGUUUUAUGUUAUCAUUGA